UUGGCACAGUAGUUAAGCACUUGGCUGCUAACCAAAAGGUUGGUGGUUCGAACCCACUA
rnacentral:tRNA from 1 species